GUAGGACUUAGGCCUCCUGGGUCCUGUGUUAGAGAGGGAUGCAGAGAGAGAGAUGCGAAGAGAUAUGCAGAAACAGAGAGAGAGAGAGAGAGAUGAUGUAGAGGCAGUUUUAUACUUCCCUGAUACAUCCCUCCCUACAUCGCUGCUGCCCCAAACAAGAAACACAAUUGGACAGGGAUGAAAUAGAAGUCCUGGGAGUGCAUUCUGACGAAGAACAGCAAUGCUCCUCUGUCAGAAACAACUUGAAGCACAAUGCCUCAGAUGGAAAUGCCAAGGGGCGUUGCACUCCAGACUGGGACUCAUCAAAGCAAACAGCAGGGCCAGGAGGGGUGAAAUGGCUGGCAGCCUUCCAGCUACCACAGAACUCCUGUACUUCAUCCACUGUCGGUCUGCCUCCAUCACCACCAGCAUCUUCAAUGGGGAAUAGGACUUUGUCAGUGGACAAGGGGUCCUCAGAUUCAGGGUUCUCAAUGGCUGGGAGGCAGCUCCUCACUGUCACUGUCAAAAUCUGAUUCCUGAAAUUCCAGAGUUUCCGCAUUUGUGAGUUGUCUCCUUUUGAAAGACAUUGCUAAUGCUACAGCUUAGCUCACUAGCUACAUACAUAAACAACAACACUGAAUGGCUCAGAGUGGGAGUGAGAGGUUACGUAAAUGACUGCCUGCACGCGCCAUUUGUAUCAAUAAAUAACUAUCAGAAAAUGUUUUGUUUGGUAAUUAUUGAUAUAGUUACUGUUUUAUUCAUGUUUUUCAAUUACCGGUGAUAAAUCAUGCAUUCUGAUUCUUGCAUAGAUUGUAAUGGGCACAUAGUAUGUGUAAAAUACUUUUUUGAAGGUUGUACUGAUUAUGAUGAGCUAAGCUAAUUCCAGCUAUGUGUGGAGCCAUGUUUGUUGACAUACAAUGUAUUCUGGGUUUCACGUAAUCGUCUGUCGGACCAAAGAUGCUAAAACAAAAUGAGGUGAGUAAGGGUUCACUCAUUUUUUGAGGACUUCAGGAAGUGAAUGGUGGGAUGUGAACGAUGGUAGACGACACACCCCUUCAACAUGCAUACUAUAAACAGACCGAACUCAUCUUGUCUUCUCUUAUUAUCUUUGGUUUCUGUGAGGAAAAAAAAGCAUGGCUGCACGCUGAAAGUCAUCAUCGUCGGAUUACUUUCGAUUUCUAGAAAGUGUUUUACUCAAUUAUUUCGAUAAAUGGUGAGCUCACCC
rnacentral:lncRNA from 1 species